GGGGGCGCACUUCCUGUGUUCUGGGCUGGCCUUUUCCUCGCCCAGGUGCUCUUCCCUGCUUGAUCUGUGUACCCUGCUCUUUCUCCUUCAUUCCGCAGCCUCCUUUGCCCUGUGACCUGCAGGUACUGGACGGUCCCUAGAGAGGAUACCGGGACGCUCCUGAAGCCGCGAGAUGAGCCACCAUCACUCAUGUUCUUGAAUGGGAACUGCCUGGAGACCCUGAAGAAGAAGGAGCCUGAAGGAGGAAGGAGGAGGCUGAGCCAUCCCGGGAACAUGGGCUGGAUGAGGCCAAGCCAGGAGAUGACACCACCAAAUAGAAGUCACCAUUCAGGAUUUGGACUUUUCUGUGGAGAUCCUGGCCCCGAGAUCGAACCCUUCUCCCUGUAGGUGUUCCCGCAGGAGAUGGUGCUGGAGAUCCACCAGCUGUUCAUGGACCAUGAAUACCCAUGUCACCACAUCACUUCUCACUGCACCUGGGUGGCAGCACACUGGACCACGUCUCAGAGCUGCGCAGCAUGGCAGGGCUGCAGGCGGGCUUGCUGCUCCACGUGGUGGAAGGUUGGUCCGGAAGUUGGGCAGCCUGCCCAGGGAGGGCCCCUGUAAGCAGGGCCAGGCAACACUGCACUGCCCCAGCUGGUGUCUCUAUUUUGCAGACGAGCAUAUGGAGGUGGGAUUGGAGCACAAGUCUGCUUUUCAGGGUAUCAUACCUGCACUCUCUAACUUCAUGGCCCAGGGGUGAAAAAACAGUUGAAAUUCUGAAAAGAAAGUCAGGCAGUAUGAAGCUAGGGCUUGGAAUCCGCCCUAUUAAAUUAUGAAAAGAUGAGUGCUUAGUUUCCUAAAGAAACUAAAGUUUCACAGUCCUUGAGUGGGGAAGUCGGCUCCAAGCAGCACCAUCAGCUGGUGUAGUGAGCCUGGCUUGGUUGUCAAAUAAAAGCUUCCGUAGACUCAAGUUCUCUGGGCGAAGCACUCAGGUUCCCAGGGCCUGACUACUUACUGAGAGCAAUUGUGGAAAAGGUCUGUAGCUCAAGGGGGCCCACAGUUCAUCACAAUUUCUCCCUUCCUCCAAAACAAUGACCAUUAAAAUCCCAUGAAACUCAAUGGGGGCGUUAAAUUUGGCAGCCCUAGAAAGUUGUCAGGCCACCCCUGCAUGAAGGCUGCCCCAGGAGAGCAGGGUGGCCUCACCCUGCUCUGCAGCCUUGCAGAGGCCCCGCAGCGCUGAAGGCCCUGCUCACCCGAGACACUAGCGCACAAAAAGCAGGAGGCCUUUUGUGGGCUCCCCAAGGCCUAUGUGUGCUUCAGAAGCAACUGGCAGGAGGUUCUUUGCAAUCAAGGAUUCUUGCCCUUAGCAAGCCAGGGUGUGUUGUGUGUGUGUUUGUGUGUGUGUGUAGAUGCGCGUGUGCACACGUGUGUAUUGAAACCAAACUCUAGCCUAUGUGUCCAUAGUGGAAUUUGAAAAUGGAAGCCUAAAGUUGAAAAUUAAAAUUAUCCAUGAAGUUUC